CAUGAUGAAGCACAUGGCUAUGAAUUAAAAUGUUUAUUAAAUAAUUACUAAUAAUUAAAGUCAUUUCUGCAUUUAUUUAUCAAAGAGUUAUUACAGAAUGAUUCAUUGAGUUAUCUGACACAUAAAUCUCCAGUUUUAUUAAAGUUUCCCCGUUUAUAAAUUGUAAUUUUGGCUUUUCAAACAUGUAACUUUACUUUGGCUGUAGUUACACCCUGUGUCCACUAGAGGGCAGAAAGCUCAGUUAGCAGCUAGCUGGAUUCCAGCGGUUGAUUAGCAAAUGGAGACUUUUUGUUGAUGUUUGUGUUUCAACUUUGUUUCUUUCCAGCUCUUCAGCCUCCUUUACAAAAAAAUCAGCAUUUUCUCUGUUAGUGUGAAUCAGAAGCAGCUCUAAAAGAGCAGCUAACAGACUGAAGCAGCAGCAGCUUCAGAGGAGCUGUGGCUCCUAAACUCCAAGCAGAGGUUCAGCUCCAACAGACAGAUGAAACUAAGCUCUAAAACUCUGCUUUAAACGUUAAGAUGCUGAGCUUCUACUUUAAAGUUAGGAAAAUAUUUAUGAAAUGUUAAAUUAUCAAGGAAACAGUCAGAAUAAUGUUGAUGUUUUAGAUGCGGAGCCGCAAAUUAAAACUCUUUAUCAGAGCAGGGCGGUUAUUAUUGCCCUCUACUGGACACAGACGGUAACUGCAGCUGUUUAAAUCAAGGUAAAGGUGAACAUGAUGGAAAUAUGUUAAACACAGAAUGAAAAAUCAUAUCCUCUGAACUUCCGCUUGAACUGCAGGGCUUGCAGCGUCGCUUCAGUGAGGAGACAUCAACUCUACAGAAGAAAACUGUAGUCAAAUCUCACCUUAAUGUCACUUUAAUGACCGCCUUCAGGUAGGGCAUCCUGCUCAGGUCAGCUGCUGUUUAUCAACACCCAGGACAAGGUGUUGGACGUCUGGAAUCAGCUCUUCGGCCUCCUUUACUACAACAUCAGCAUUUUCUCAGUAAGUGUGAAUUAGAAGCAGCUCCACAGAGACUCAGAGCAGAGCUACUCCUUGGAGGAGGUUUUUAGCUCUGAAGUUAUUCUUUACUUCUGUUCCCUGUUUUACAAACAAACUCUGAUUAUCAGCAGCUGCAGAUCUACAAGCUGAUGCUGAACAGCAGCAUCUGUCUUUCAGUUCACGAACAGUCGCUUAUAUUUUUUAUACCAUUAAUCUCAUUCAUUAUUAAAAUAUUCUGAAGAAUUGUAAUAGGUAAUUACAGUCUGUGACCUAUUUGUAAUACUUUACUGAAG